rnacentral:rRNA from 1 species
GAGUAAUACAUAAGUAACCUGGCAUCUACAGGGGGAUAACUGAUGGAAACGUCAGCUAAGACCGCAUAGGUGUAGAGAUCGCAUGAACUCUAUAUGAAAAGUGCUACGGGACUGGUAGAUGAUGGACUUAUGGCGCAUUAGCUUGUUGGUAGGGUAACGGCCUACCAAGGCGACGAUGCGUAGCCGACCUGAGAGGGUGACCGGCCACACUGGGACUGAGACACGGCCCAGACUCCUACGGGAGGCAGCAGUAGGGAAUUUUCGGCAAUGGGGGAAACCCUGACCGAGCAACGCCGCGUGAAGGAAGAAGUAAUUCGUUAUGUAAACUUCUGUCAUAGAGGAAGAACGGUGGAUAUAGGGAAUGAUAUCCAAGUGACGGUACUCUAUAAGAAAGCCACGGCUAACUACGUGCCAGCAGCCGCGGUAAUACGUAGGUGGCGAGCGUUAUCCGGAAUUAUUGGGCGUAAAGAGGGAGCAGGCGGCACUAAGGGUCUGUGGUGAAAGAUCGAAGCUUAACUUCGGUAAGCCAUGGAAACCGUAGAGCUAGAGUGUGUGAGAGGAUCGUGGAAUUCCAUGUGUAGCGGUGAAAUGCGUAGAUAUAUGGAGGAACACCAGUGGCGAAGGCGACGAUCUGGCGCAUAACUGACGCUCAGUCCCGAAAGCGUGGGGAGCAAAUAGGAUUAGAUACCCUAGUAGUCCACGCCGUAAACGAUGAGUACUAAGUGUUGGGGGUCAAAGCUCAGUGCUGCAG